ACUCAAAUGAAUUGACGGGGACCCGCACAAGCGGUGGAUGAUGUGGAUUAAUUCGAUGCAACGCGAAAAACCUUACCUACCCUUGACAUGUACGGAAGCCACGAGAGAUCGAGGUGUGCUCGAAAGAGAGCCGUAACACAGGUGCUGCAUGGCUGUCGUCAGCUCGUGUCGUGAGAUGUUGGGUUAAGUCCCGCAACGAGCGCAACCCUUGUCAUUAGUUGCUACGAAAGAGCACUCUAAUGAGACUGCCGGUGACAAACCGGAGGAAGGUGGGGAUGACGUCAAGUCCUCAUGGCCCUUAUGGGUAGGGCUUCACACGUCAUACAAUGGUACAUACAGAGGGCCGCCAACCCGCGAGGGGGAGCUAAUCCCAGAAAGUGUAUCGUAGUCCGGAUUGUAGUCUGCAACUCGACUACAUGAAGUUGGAAUCGCUAGUAAUCGCGGAUCAGCAUGUCGCGGUGAAUACGUUCCCGGGUCUUGUACACACCGCCCGU
rnacentral:rRNA from 1 species